rnacentral:lncRNA from 1 species
ACCUGGGAGCAACACAGGGUCAGGCGCUUGGAAGGGCUCCGUGCCCAGAAGGGUUCUGUGCUUGGUUUAAUGCUCUGUUGUCACCAUCUUGAAAUUCUUAACUUUUUAGCAAAGGGCCCAGUUUUUCAUUUGCAGUGAGCUAUGCCCUAAGAACUGACCAACGCUGGAGCUUUAGGCUUCCUAGGUGUUGGCGACUUGUGGAGAGAGGCUCCUGUGGGGCUGCUCACCCACACCAUCCGGCUGCCAUUAGCACUGCCAGUUAAAGUUGCUGGGAACCUCUGUGUGCCGGGCACUGUGUUAGAUGCUGGAGAAGCAGAAGGAAGGAGGCUGGGCACCUGCCCCAGGAGCUGCCAAUCAAGACUAGAGACUGGCAGUGAUGGACCUCCUGAUUUUUAGCUUGGCCUAUGUUCACCCAAAGUAAAGACCACACUGCCCAGCGUCCUUCGCAGCUGGCUGUGGCCAGGAGACCAAGUUCUGGCGAUGAGAUACGAUGUGCACAACCGCUGACUGUGCUCUCCC